GUAAACUCCAAAUUGCAUGAAAAAAAAAGUCCGAAUUGCGAGCAAUUCUAAUAUAUAAAGUCGCAGUUACCUUUAAGAAAAAACAACAUUUCUCCAUGCCAGAAACGGACUUCCAUAUAUAUUAGAAUGAGUGCAUUAAUUUAAAUAAUGUAACCGACACUAGUCAGAGCUGCUGUUGUAGAAAACUGAUCAACACUCUCUGACCAAUCAGAAUCGAGAAUUCAACAACACUGAGGUAGUUAAUUUAAUAAAUGGUUAUUCUUAACAAAUGGUAUUACCUUGCUAAGUUUAAAGGCGGGUGUGUCAUGACGUACACACGCAGUUUAUAAGAGGCUAAACCGAAGGCUAUACACUUCCCUUAGUUGUUAGCACAAAACUAAAGAACCGACCUUCAGAAACUGAACAUGUCUUGACUGAUUGAUUGCAUAUUGGUUACGUGAUUCCACAAGCUCAUUUUAAUAUAAAAUAAAUAUCAAACAGGACAAUGUUAACCUGAAACAGAAAUAAGUGUGUAGUAGCUCAACAGCAACAGUAAGUAGUAUAAUAUACUAAGCACUUGUAAUUAUACUAUAAUAAGGUUAAUCAUAUACAUUUGCAAAGAAAAUAUUUAUAUAUAGAAUCCUAUAACUGGUGGUUUUCCUUUUAGAAAUGGUUCCAAGUAUAACCUCUUUAGGGAAAAAAAACCCCAUUGAGGAACAUUUAUUUUUAAUGUACAGAAAGAAAGGUUAGAUUAAAUCAUUCUUAGGUUUGACCCUUUAAGAUAACACUUAAAAGUUUUAUGUAGAAGCAGACAGGGUUCAGGCAGAACCCUUUAAGAAAGCAAAGAAUCCUUAAAUAUACCAAGAACUGACAAGUAACUCUGAUUUCCAAUCCAUGUGACGUACAUAUCAAUGCAUUAAAGACCUACUGAAAAACCACAUCUGGUGUUAAAACAGUAGCUGUUCGUUUGUAGUUUCUUGUGUUUGAGGUGCAGCACUCUGACGUGGAGAAAGAACGGGGGAAGGAAUCAUCGCCGUCUGCUUCUCUUUAUCAAAGGCUAAUCCCUCAUUCAUGCUGGGAGCGUGUGAACUACAACACAAAGAGCUUACACACACCCUAGGCAUGCCAACAUCACAAAUACAGCACAGGCCAGGUGUUAAUGCUCACACAACUAGGUGCUAAUUGGUCUAUAGGGAGUUGCAAUGAUGCGUGCACAUAGGUGGGUGUGAUUUAAUUUGAGGUGGCUUAUCAAAAAAUGCUGAAAAUGGUUUGUUAAAAUGGUGCGUUUUAAAUUCAUAUGAACAAAAUGUAUUUAUUCUUAGGGAAUAUGCUGGUUUUACAGAAUUGUAUGUAUGUAUGUAUUUAUUUGCCUACCAGUGACAUUUAAUCAGUUUAACCGUUACUCCAGUAAGUCCAUUUCUGCAUGUUCUAUUAUUAUUAUUUAUUAUUAUUAUUAUUGCCUGUGGCAGUGUUGUGAACAGAAACUGGUGCUCAUGAGUACUUUUUCUUAGUUUGUUCCCUUAAUUUUGCACAUAUUAAUGAUGUUUUUUUGCACAUGAACAUUCCUUCACACUAAACCAAGACUUUGUUUUGUUUUUGCACUGAUAUCUGUGUACUGUGUGUGAUCAGAUAUGAUUAAUAUGUGAAAUUAUAAAUACAUUUCCUACAAUCUCAACCUGGUCUACACUGCCACCUAGUGCGUAUUUCUCGUUUUAGUGUAUUGCCCAGAGAUAUUGGGUCGGAUCAUUCCCCGCCGUCUGCUCUAACACACUCUGAAAAGUGAGUCAGAUCAUUUGACUCGCUAAUAAAGAGUCGACUCUUUGACCACCCAACCGGCUCAUUGGCAUUUUCAAUAAACCGGGCAAAGUGCUGAAUCUUACUCUACCUUCUAACUGUCAAAAUAACACUCCUCUGCAUGUUAAACAAUCUUUUUAAACUACUGUGAAAUCAGCAAUGGGCUCUAGACGUUCACCUAAAAGAGCCGACUCAAAGAUCCGACUCAUUUGCAAACGACACAUCACUGCAAAGUUGGAAAAACAUCCUGUACUGAAAAGCUCAUGAGCUAGCAACAAGCUACCCAACUAACAUUCGUGAUGUAUUUACAUUUGAUAGCAAUAAACCGUAUGAUUAAUGCUAGAGAUUUAACCAAAUAACAUGUCUGUUUGUGAAUCUAAAGUAAAUACUAUUAUAAUCUUAUUUAAAAGUAGAGAAUGGUACUUUAUUUACUGCUGAUGGUGUGAGCAGCCAUGCUGAUAUGACGUCACGAGCUGAACUCGGAGUUGAGAAGACCUUCCCGGCUUCCAAGCUGAGGGGAUAUUUCUUUGGUUUUAUCUAGUCUGUGGUCUGGAGUCCAGUCUAUGGUCUGAAAUUAUUUUGGUUGAAAAUAGCGGAAACACCGCGUCACGGACACGGCGCAUGCGCACUGCGCGCUUGUAAACCACGCAUGCGCACUGCGCGCUUUAAAUGCGGUCUGCGAGCGCGUAACCGUCCCAGUCCGUUUGCAGCAUUGAGGCACCAAUGUGUCUUGCUGGCUUCACGUGAAGGAUAAUGCAGGCCAAGAGCCUCACUUCCGGCUCUUGGUCACGUGGUUAUUACCAGCGUAGGAGGUGGGACUCGCGCCCUUUUUCUGCAGAAGACCUGAGCCCCAUUCACUCCAAUGGAAAAUUGUAUGAUCAGCCAACAGCAGAAAGGUGAAUUAGAUGACAUGAAGAUGCACAUCCACUUGUGUACAUGAAGUGUAAUCCUUUCUUACAUUAAGUGAGUGAGGCCUGCACCAUCAUGGUAUUUGGGAACAUCAUGAACCUGCAGCUCCGCUGACAUCCAGAUGGUUCCAGGACUUGGUUUUCUUUCUAAGGAUGCAAAACUGAUCCUGAGGCCCAGUGGGUGGGUGUUCCAACACUUUUUUGGGUGUGUCCCCCCGUCCCCCCUAAGGUUGUAAAACUGAGAUCAUGGCAUGAAGCAUCUUUGAAUGGGCUCAAGGGGAGGUGCCCAAGGGCUAUCAUGGAUUGCUAUAACAUUCAAGCUGAGGUGUUGAUUGGUGGUCAAGUUGCAGUCAGAUUAAUGGGAGGGAUAGCAGUGUGACCAUUGGUGGAUUUAAGGUGGCCACCCUGCUUGACCCCCGGGGGUGUGAAGGUGUUCCAGGAAUGUUACACUGCAUGUGUGCACACACAGGCCUUGUUUUUCUGACUGAAGUCGUAAAUGAGGCUGUUAAAAUCCAAUUUGCUGGCAUGCCAUCACCAGUUGGAAACAGUGUAGUUUCCUUAUAAACUGCAGCAGUGACCAUGCCGUUUUCUCAUUUUCUCAAAGUUCUCCAAAUUGUCUCAAUUUUGUCCAUUUAAAAUCUUCCUCCAGCUGCAUAUAUCUUAUGGAGUUUAGCUGUGCCCGGAUGAAGAUCUAGUCUGGGGAAGGAUGGAACAUCAUUCAAAAAUGCAAACACCUGUGGAACCGAUGCAGUUGUUUCAACUGUGGCUACUGUAGCUGUAGGCAUGAUUGAUUAGAUCAGGGGUUCCCAAAUUUUUCCAGUGCAAGGCCCCCUUCAGUCAAAUGUUAAUGGCAUUAACAUUUGACUGAGGCCCUCCUUUUGCAAGAUGUCUUUAAAACACAUUAAAAAUACAGAUUUUUGGAAUAUUAAUUUAAAAAAGGGGAUAUAAUCAUCUCACAUCAUUUACAUUAGGGGUGGGUGGUUGUCUUGAGUGAGAAUUUAUCUUUCACACCAAAUUGGUGAGGACCCCUGGUUUGAAAACCACUGGAUUAGAUUCAGUAGCCUGGUGAUAUCCAGUCAAGUUAGGGGUUUUCAUUUUUGUACAUAUCCAUGCCCAUAUAUUGACUUUAUAUGAUGAGUACAUUUAUGAUGGGUGUAUAUCUUAAAUUGCUGGAUGUAGACUGUAAUAGAGCCUUUUGAAUUCUCUUGUGUUGAAACUGUGAAAUAAGCUGAUAUUCAGGUUGGUAUAUGACUCAAAGGAUCUAUGUAAUGAACCAUUUAGACUCAAGGUACUUGUAAAAAGUCAACUUUUUAAAAAAUAUAUAUUUAUCAAAAAAUAUAACAACCUUAUCCUACUGCAUUUAAGAGCAAUUCAAAUGCUAUUGCACCAUGCUGAUGUACUAUAGAUUUGCACAGAAUAAAGGAAAUGUUUCACAUUUUGAUUCAGCAGCUUCUUUUCUAGAUAAAAGCAUUUUAGGACAGCGGUGUACCCGAUCUAUUGAUCUCCCUAUAAACUGUUCCUGGACUGGCUGGGUUGAAGAAAGCUUUGAUCAUCUGGAUUAUUGUGCAGGAGGUCUACGUCUUUUCACGACGUAGACGCUCGCUCCAAUGAUGCUUUCAAGGACUAAUCCAAAGAGUGUGACCUGUACAGGAACUUCAUUGCAGUUGUUGGUUAAUAGUUGUAGCCCUGUUAAAUAAUUUGAUUAUUAGGAAAGCUGUAGACUGAGAAACUGUGAACACUAAUAAGGAUUUAGGUGUCAGUUUAGUCUUGACAUGAAUGGAGACUGACUCUACACCAGUACAAACAGUACAAGUACAGUGUUUGAAUAAGGGAUGAAUUUACCUUCUUUCAGUGAAACAGCUCGUGGUUCUCCUUCCUGAGAUUCAUCAUGGAUGAGACACUGAUAAAAUCUUGCAUCAGACCGGUGAACUGAACUGAUGUGAAGGGACAGAUCACCAUCUAGGAAGCCUUCUGCUGACAUCAUAAAUCUGCCUGGUGAUGCUUCCUCAGUAGUCACCGAUCUAUUUUCCUGAGUACAGCAGAAGUGUUCGUCCAGCUUUCUUCCAUUUUAUAUCUUUAACACCUUGCCAAGUGUCUCCGUAGCAGGGGAGGGUGACAUUCUCCCCCUCAAAAGGCUUAACAUCUGUUGGAACUGUCAGACAAAAACAAAUGUCAUGUUCUUUUUAGCCUUCUACUUUGAUUUUCAGUAAGAGCUAGACCUGUCCCAGUCAGGCUGGAUAGACUUUACUACAGACAUGUUCAGAGUCACGUUAUUUCCAUCGUGGUAAUAAGACUUACUCAUGGUACACUUACCAUACACCUGAAGCUUUUCUUCAGUAACUGGAUGUCCAUCAUAGCUGCACCUGUAGGAGCCAACAUCGGUGUAGACGACUGAACUGAUACUUAUGGAGUAAUUUCCUCUGCUGGUAUCUCCUGAUACUUCAAAUCUUUUCUGAAAAUGCUGUUCAAUCCGCCAUGUCUGGCUGUCACACUUAGCAACGACGUCUUUACUGGGAAGGAAGCGGGUCCACAGAACCACUGGUUGGUUUCCAGAGCAGAUACAUGGGAAGGUCACAGGUUCAUUAACUAAGAUUUGUCUGAUGAUAAAACCCUGGCACUGCAGGAUUAACAGGUGAACUAAUGGAUCAGAGAACAAAUUAAAUUAGACAUUUUGAACAUUUGACACAAUUACAUCAGAAGAAAAAAUCCUGUCUACAACUGAUAGCUGUUUUAAUUUACUCUUUCAGAAAUAGUUUGGACACAGUAUGGGUUUAAAACCGUGACACUUUCCAAUCAGAGGGACUCGUGUGCUUAAAACCAACUUGAUGGUGUUCUCUCACAACAAUGG
ensembl:lncRNA